CUAGGAUGUGCAAGGUGAGGU
rnacentral:siRNA from 1 species